GGGGCGGUAGUUCAGUGGGAGAACGCUACGCUGGCAGCGUAGAAGUCGAGGGUUCGACUCCCUUCCGCUCCA
rnacentral:tRNA from 1 species